AUUGAACGCUGGCGGCAGGCCUAACACAUGCAAGUCGAGCGGAUGAAGGGAGCUUGCUCCUGGAUUCAGCGGCGGACGGGUGAGUAAUGCCUAUGAAUCUGCCUGGUAGUGGGGGAUAACGUCCGGAAACGGGCGCUAAUACCGCAUACGUCCUGAGGGAGCAAGUGGGGGAUCUUCGGACCUCACGCUAUCAGAUGAGCCUAGGUCGGAUUAGCUAGUUGGUGGGGUAAAGGCCUACCAAGGCGACGAUCCGUAACUGGUCUGAGAGGAUGAUCAGUCACACUGGAACUGAGACACGGUCCAGACUCCUACGGGAGGCAGCAGUGGGGAAUAUUGGACAAUGGGCGAAAGCCUGAUCCAGCCAUGCCGCGUGUGUGAAGAAGGUCUUCGGAUUGUAAAGCACUUUAAGUUGGGAGGAAGGGCAGUAAGUUAAUACCUUGCUGUUUUGACGGUACCAACAGAAUAAGCACCGGCUAACUUCGUG
rnacentral:rRNA from 1 species